CAUCACUCAUUUACUACAUUAAUCAUCCCUCUAUCGUUCCAGCCUUUCUGGAAUCAUGCCAAGAUAUCAACAAAAAACUGGACUUCACAGUAAUGUUGUCAUUCCAGAAAUAACUUGUCCAGUGAGUUAUUUCAGUGAACAGCCGAUGGAAGUUUGUCUGUGACUUUGUUGAUACUGUACUAAAUAUGGUUUAAACAUUAAAUAAUAUCUCAUGUGAGAUGGGUCGCUGAAUUUUUGGAUAUGUUUAUGACACAUGUGUAAUUAUGGUUAUUUGUGUGCAAUAGAAGUAAUUUGGGGUUAUUAUUUGGAUCAGGUAAAGUAUUAAGAGAGGAGGACGUAAGGUCAGCAGUGCUGUGUUUAUAAUAGCUGCCCACACACUGGCUUAGGUUCAAAGGUCAAGAUAGUGUGGCGGGUUUGAAAUGCUAAAUAUGCCCUCUCACCGUUUGCCUACCACACACACACACACACACACACACACACAAACACAAACAGACGCACAAACAGACACACACACAUGGACACACACACACACACACCAUGUUUGCUAUUUACAUAUAAUAAAUACCUGGCAUUAUCUGUCAUGGAUCUGUACUUGAUUCCUAAAGGGAUAGUUUAUCCAAAAUGAAAAUUCAGUCAUCAUGUUGCCCAUGUUAUUAAUCUUAAUUUUAAGGUGUCUUGAGAAUCUCAGAAAAUUUUAAUUUAAAUAUUUUUAAUGAAACCUGAGAGAAAGUCCAGGUGUCCAAAUCUUAGAAGAACAAAAUAGGUCAUAAAGGCAUCUUAAAGCAAAUCCAUUAAUCAAGGGGUUUUAUCAAAGUCUUAUGAAGAAAAAUAGUCGCUUUAUUUGAUGAUUAGAUUUCAUCUAGGUUUGUUUAGAUAGACUAAAGUCUUACUAGAUGAGGGUGAAUAAAUGUUGACAGAAUUAAUUUUUUUUUUUUUUUUUGGGUGAACUAUCCCUUUAAUGCUGUAUGUGAUCAUCUCUAAUGGAAGAGCUCUAAUAAAUAGCCCAGAAUGGUGUUUGCUAGAUCUAUUCACCAUGUUCUGUGUGUGUUCUAGAACAUUCUCUCAAAGCCUGUUUGUUAUCAGGUCAGAGGGUUUAGUACAGGCAGAUCGGAACACUGCUGAUUUUAUUCUCUGUAGAUGGUGUACAGAUGUGCUGCCCAUUGACAUAAAUUCUGUAAAUGAAGGAGACAUAUCCCUUCAGUGUCAAUUAAGCCAUGCAUAUUCCACUUUUCCCAGCGGACUCCUUUCUCACUCAUUCUGAAUGCUGGCAGCCAAUGAGGAAGCUGCCGGUGGAGGAACCCGCGCUGCCUCCGCCCAUGAGAAUUUCCUGCUAUUGUUUGGAUCACUGAGGUUACGUGGUCUGCAAUAACAAAAGAGCAGGAACCUUCCCACGAUUCCUGAUAAAAAUUCCUUCUACAAAGUGACAUGUGCCAUCUAUAUGUAUACAGACAUAAUGGAUUGCAAUGAACGCACCAACAUAUGGCACUGUCUGAGCUUUUCUUUGAUCAAAUUCAAGGAACCCCAUUUGGUUUUUUAGCUUUUGUGAAACUUUUUUGUUAAAAGAGAUGUUUGGCAGAAUUCCCAAGCUCCCAAACACCAAAAGAGAUAAACAACAUCACAUAAGAUAAUAUGAAAAUAUAUUUUGUUUGUUUUGGAACUUGACAUUCCCUAGAUACUGUUUGAUUAUGUUUUAUGGAAAAGAGCAGCUUAGACAUUCUGUAAAGCAUCUAUUUUUAAUUUCAUGAAGGAAAGAAAGAAAAGGGGUUGAAACAACACAUCCCUUGUGAAACACGUACACUUUAGCAAUAGAUUACUUAUUAUGGAAAAAGACACUUUUU